UGGGAGGAUAGGCCUGCAUCUUUGAAAGAGGUUCCCAAGGUUCGGACAUUCAGCUAGCAAACCCGGAGUUGAAUGGACAUCCAGUUUCAUGUUCCAUCUGAAUCUGGCCAUAGUCUAGGAAAGGCAAGGAUAUAUUACCUACCUCCAACUACUGCACAUAUUAUCCAGAUUAAUUUCUGGUUUCUGAGAUUGAAGCUGUUAUGCCAUGUACUUUCCAACAUAUACUCUCUGUCAUAAGGAAUAGAAACAUGUUUAUAAAAUAAAAAGAAAGGGGAAGGAAAAAACCUAAUCCACCAAAAACUUAAAUUGAACCUAUAGAAGCACCACUUUACUACGCAUUCUGCCACAUAUCUGAACCUGGCAUGUGAUAAAAUCUUCCAAACCACUUGAAAAGAUAAUACAUUUGACCACACUGCCACAAGCAGUUUUAGAAGAUGAACAAGCAACAAAUCAAUUUUGUGUGGCUUUGCCAAGUGUCUGCUGACAUGAUAGCACUCUGGACAAACGUGUUUCCUGUGCCCUGGAGUCAACUUAUGUUCAUUCAUUUCCCUUUCCCCCUUUUUUCUUAAAGUCUUAAAAAUUAUUCCUUCCUGCAAAGCAUGGCUGAGGAGGGUGUCCCCAACACCACUUUUUUUUUAUAAAAAAAAAUUUCCUCUGUUGAUCACUUGUUUCAUACCGGAAGCCAAAAGUCCCUUCCAGAGGCCCAGAAAUUCCCUAUUUGCCUUUGAAAUUCCCUGCAGGAACUCCUUUUUUGCCCUUGAAAUUCCCAGGAGGAAAUAAAAAAUAUGUAUGCAA